AAAGAAUUAGUUUAAAAAAACAUUUGUAUGUCAUACAAAAAUUAUUAGUGUUACCUAAUAUACUUUU
rnacentral:tRNA from 1 species